rnacentral:rRNA from 1 species
AUACGGAGGGUGCAAGCGUUAAUCGGAAUUACUGGGCGUAAAGCGUACGUAGGCGGUUAAGUCAGUCAGAUGUGAAAGCCCUGGGCUCAACCUGGGAACUGCAUUUGAUACUGCUGAGCUAGAGUAUGGUAGAGGGAAGUGGAAUUCCGGGUGUAGCGGUGAAAUGCGUAGAUAUCCGGAGGAACACCAGUGGCGAAGGCGACUUCCUGGACCAAUACUGACGCUGAGGUGCGAAAGCGUGGGUAGCAAACAGGAUUAGAAACCCCGGUAGUCC